UACGUAGGGUGCGAGCGUUGUCCGGAAUUAUUGGGCGUAAAGAGCUUGUUGGCGGUUUGUCGCGUCUGCUGUGAAAAUCCGGGGCUCAACCCCGGACUUGCAGUGGGUACGGGCAGACUAGAGUGUGGUAGGGGAGACUGGAAUUCCUGGUGUAGCGGUGAAAUGCGCAGAUAUCAGGAGGAACACCGAUGGCGAAGGCAGGUCUCUGGACCACUACUGACGCUGAGAAGCGAAAGCAUGGGGAGCGAACAGG
rnacentral:rRNA from 1 species